UCGGUGUCAAAGCACCGCCGGUUAGAAUUGACAGCCAGGCAAAAUAUGGUGCUCUGUCCAGAGGAGAUGGAGCCAUAUAUCUGCGUUUUCCUCACAAAGGGUAUCGAGAGAAAAUAUGGGAUCAUGCUGCUGGGUGUAUUGUUGUGACUGGUAUGGACCAAUUUCACUCCAUCAUUGGCUUUCUUUCAAAGUGCUAAGGAUUAGCUGGCUGACAUUGGUUUAUUAUUCUUCCUUUUUACCUGUUUGCAACUCAUGAUUCGCAGAAGCUGGGGGUGUGGUCACAGAUGCUGCAGGGCAGCCCUUGGAUUUUUCC
rnacentral:lncRNA from 1 species